rnacentral:rRNA from 1 species
CCUACGGGGGGCAGCAGUGGGGAAUAUUGGACAAUGGGGGCAACCCUGAUCCAGCCAUGCCGCGUGUGUGAAGAAGGCCCUCGGGUUGUAAAGCACUUUCAGUGAGGAAGAACGCCUGGUGGUUAAUACCCAUCAGGAAAGACAUCACUCACAGAAGAAGCACCGGCUAACUCCGUGCCAGCAGCCGCGGUAAUACGGAGGGUGCGAGCGUUAAUCGGAAUUACUGGGCGUAAAGCGCGCGUAGGUGGCUUGAUAAGCCGGUUGUGAAAGCCCCGGGCUCAACCUGGGAACGGCAUCCGGAACUGUCAAGCUAGAGUGCAGGAGAGGAAGGUAGAAUUCCCGGUGUAGCGGUGAAAUGCGUAGAGAUCGGGAGGAAUACCAGUGGCGAAGGAGGCCUUCUGGACUGACACUGACACUGAGGUGCGGAAGCGUGGGUAGCAAACAGGAUUAGAUACCCGUGUAGUC